AGGAGAGGUCAAGGGGUUCAAUUUGACAGGAAAUUUUACGUUAAGGCAAACAACGUAUGUACAGUGUCAGGAAACAAGCCUUUCUCCAAAACUCGAAUGCCAUCACCAAAGAGUGAGGCCAAAUCAUAUUCUGAUCCCAAUUAUGAUGAUGAUUACACCAACACAGCAGACCUUCAUAUGAAAUUAUAUGAAAAUGACACAUUUUAGACGAACACUGUAGACUUGACAUCAGGGGAGGAGCCUGUUGUAUAACUGUGUGUUGCAUUUUAAGACUAACCUAUAAUGCCUACACAUGCAUAUUCUACAGUAUUGCUGUAUUUACAUAUUGCUAUGAUGCUUACAUUGCAUAAAAUAAUUUACAUAAUAGUUAUAUAUAUAUAAUGCUAUCAUUUUAAUAUGUGAGAAAAAUUGUAACUUUUAGCUGGACUUAAUCUUGUCUCGUUCUGAAAUUUGUCCCAUUGUGGCAUCAUAUAUUUUCAAUAAAAGAUUACCUCUGCAGAACAAGACCAACAGCUACUUCUAUAUUAUUGCCUCUUUACAUCCACCCACUGAAAUGCACAUGUAGUUAGAGAAGAGGAAAGGCUAGAAAGAUGC